rnacentral:rRNA from 1 species
UACAGAGGUCUCAAGCGUUGUUCGGAUUCAUUGGGCGUAAAGGGUGCGUAGGCGGCGCGGUAAGUCGGGUGUGAAAUCUCGGAGCUUAACUCCGAAACUGCAUUCGGAUACUGCCGUGCUUGAGGACUGGAGAGGAGACUGGAAUUUACGGUGUAGCGGUGGAAAUGCGUAGAUAUCGUAAGGAAGACCAGUGGCGAAGGCGGGAUCUCUGGGA